UACGUAGGUGGCAAGCGUUAUCCGGAUUUAUUGGGCGUAAAGGGAACGCAGGCGGUCUUUUAAGUCUGAUGUGAAAGCCUUCGGCUUGACCGGAGUAGUGCAUUGGAAACUGGGAGACUUGAGUGCAGAAGAGGAGAGUGGAACUCCAUGUGUAGCGGUGAAAUGCGUAGAUAUAUGGAAGAACACCAGUGGCGAAAGCGGCUCUCUGGUCUGUAACUGACGCUGAGGUUCGAAAGCGUGGGUAGCAAACAGG
rnacentral:rRNA from 1 species